GAUGAACGCUGGCGGCGUGCCUAAUACAUGCAAGUCGAGCGAACGGACGAGAAGCUUGCUUCUCUGAUGUUAGCGGCGGACGGGUGAGUAACACGUGGAUAACCUACCUAUAAGACUGGGAUAACUUCGGGAAACCGGAGCUAAUACCGGAUAAUAUUUUGAACCGCAUGGUUCAAAAGUGAAAGACGGUCUUGCUGUCACUUAUAGAUGGAUCCGCGCUGCAUUAGCUAGUUGGUAAGGUAACGGCUUACCAAGGCAACGAUGCAUAGCCGACCUGAGAGGGGGAUCGGACAGACGGGAAAGGAGACACGGGCCAGAAGCCUAGGGGAGGCGGAAGUAGGGAAUGUUCCGAAAAGGGAGAAAGGCUGACGGGGGAGAGGGGCGUGAGUGAGGAAGGUCUUGGGAUCGUAAAAAGCUGUUAUGAGGGAGGAACAGAUGUGGAGGUAGCGGUGCACAGCGUGACGGUACGUAAUGAGAAAGCCACGGCUAACUAAGUG
rnacentral:rRNA from 1 species